GACGAACGCUGGCGGCGUGCUUAACACAUGCAAGUCGAACGGUGAACGAGGGAGCUUGCUCCCUCCGGAUCAGUGGCGAACGGGUGAGUAACACGUGAGCAAUCUGCCCCGAACUCUGGGAUAAGCGUUGGAAACGACGUCUAAUACCGGAUACGACGCGGGAGGGCAUCCUCUCCGCGUGGAAAGAACUUCGGUACGGGAUGAGCUCGCGGCCUAUCAGCUUGUUGGUGAGGUAACGGCUCACCAAGGCGACGACGGGUAGCCGGCCUGAGAGGGUGACCGGCCACACUGGGACUGAGACACGGCCCAGACUCCUACGGGAGGCAGCAGUGGGGAAUAUUGCACAAUGGGCGCAAGCCUGAUGCAGCGACGCCGCGUGAGGGACGACGGCCUUCGGGUUGUAAACCUCUUUUAGCAGGGAAGAAGCGAAAGUGACGGUACCUGCAGAAAAAGCACCGGCUAACUACGUG
rnacentral:rRNA from 1 species